AUACGGAGGGUGCAAGCGUUACUCGGAAUUACUGGGCGUAAAGCGCGCGUAGGCGGCUUAUCAAGUUAGGCGUGAAAGGCCUGGGCUCAACCCGGGAACUGCGCUUAAUACUGGUAGACUUGAGUCCGGGAGAGGGUGGCGGAAUUCCCAGUGUAGAGGUGAAAUUCGUAGAUAUUGGGAAGAACACCAGUGGCGAAGGCGGCCACCUGGCCCGGUACUGACGCUGAGGUGCGAAAGCGUGGGGAGCAAACAGGAUUAGAUACCCCAGUAGUCC
rnacentral:rRNA from 1 species